CAACCAGCUAGUCUCUGCCACUGCAUCUUAUUUUGAGACACCUCUUAGAUAUCCAGGAAAAGAACAAUGGGAAACUAAUACAGACACUCAGAACAAUGAGUUCUGCAGCAAUAAAUGAGCAGCCGGAAAAGCUUCUUGACCAACAGGAGCAGUAACAACCCUCUGAAACCUGGUAGAGAUGGUAUUAUACUGCCCAGGGGUCUCAUUGAAAACGAUGGAGAGAGAUGCACAGCCUAGCAGUCAAGAGCAGGGUGCAGUGUGGUGAGCGGGAAAAGCACUGGCCUGGGGGUCAGAAGAACCAACUCUGAUCUGCAGCAAGUCUCUUAAAGUCUCAGUGUGCUGAUCUCUAAGAUGAGUAUAAUAUAAUUUAUUUUGCUUCAAGGUUGUGAGGAUUGGAGGUAAUGUUGGAAAAGGCUGGC
rnacentral:lncRNA from 1 species